AUUGAACGCUGGCGGCAGGCCUAACACAUGCAAGUCGAACGAGUGGCGGACGGGUGAGUAAUGUCUGGGAAACUGCCCGAAUGAGGGGGAUAACUACUGGACACGGUCGCUAAUACCGCAUACCAUCGGAUGUGCCCAGAUGGGAUUAGCUAGUUGGUGGGGUAACGGCUCACCUAGGCGACGAUCCCUAGCUGGUCUGAGAGGAUGACCAACCAUACUGGAAAUGAGAGACGGUCAAGAUUCCUACGGGAGGGAGAAGUGGGGAAUAUUGCACAAUGGGCGCAAGCCUGAGGAAGCCAUGCCGCGUGUAUGAAGAAGGCCUUCUGGUUGGAAAGUACUAUCAGGGGGGAGGCUUUACUCCCAGCAGAAGCAUCGGCUUACUCCGUGCCAGCAGCCGCGGUAAUUC
rnacentral:rRNA from 1 species